UGGGGAAUAUUGCACAAUGGGCGCAAGCCUGAUGCAGCCAUGCCGCGUGUGUGAAGAAGGCCUCGGGUUGUAAAGCACUUUCAGCGAGGAGGAAGGUGGUGAACUUAAUACGUUCAUCAAUUGACGUUACUCGCAGAAGAAGCACCGGCUAACUCCGUGCCAGCAGCCGCGGUAAUACGGAGGGUGCAAGCGUUAAUCGGAAUUACUGGGCGUAAAGCGCACGCAGGCGGUUUGUUAAGUCAGAUGUGAAAUCCCCGGGCUCAACCUGGGAACUGCAUUUGAAACUGGCAAGCUAGAGUCUCGUAGAGGGGGGUAGAAUUCCAGGUGUAGCGGUGAAAUGCGUAGAGAUCUGGAGGAAUACCGGUGGCGAAGGCGGCCCCCCUGGACGAAGACUGACGCUCAGGUGCGAAAGCGUGGGGAGCAAAACAGGAUUAGAUACCCCUGGUAGUCCACGCUGUAAAACGAUGUCGAUUUUGGAGGUUGUGCCCCUUGAGGCGUGGNUUCCGGAGCUAACGCGUUAAAUCGACCGCCUGGGGGAGUACGGCCCAAGGUUAAAACU
rnacentral:rRNA from 1 species